rnacentral:lncRNA from 1 species
AUCAGCGCCUCCUCAGUCAUCCCUGGACUCCAGCCACGACUGUGUCCUUGACUGUGGUUAUCAGCAUUCUGAAGAAAUGCAAGCUCAAAGAAGACUCAAAGACAUUGAGGGAGCCAUGUCUGCUGCUUGAUGGAGGAUUUCCUGAUGCCAGGUCCUCUCACUGGUUCUAUUCAUCUCCUCAGCAAUCAGCUUAUAUUCUGGACUGUAGUAUGGGAGUACAAUAAACCUGUAGAAUAAAGAACGCAGAACUUAUAAGGAAACAUCAGCUGCUUUUGAAAGGAACAAACCUAUUGGAUUACUUCCAAGAUAGUCAACUCUUACAGAAUGUGACAACUCUACCUUUUCAUUUCCUAUUUGGCCUGCAGGAGAUAGAAGAUUUAGUGUCCUUUCAUACACGGAAAGGAGAUCUCAAUGGCUCAGUCCACUGCUGCUAUAGCCAGCAAGAUUCUCCCACAAUGGGAAGUUAAAAGGAAUUAUGGCCUCAUGGGGAUAUAUCAGACUUGUAGAUAGCAUCUAAAAUAAACUGAGCAAAAUAGCCCAACACAUUGGGCUCUCUCUCUAAGGUAUUUAUCAUUUAAUUUUUCACAAGUUAAACAUUUGCUUGCAUGAUUUCAUAGCAGGAUAAAUGUAAAAACUA